UACGUAGGUGGCAAGCGUUGUCCGGAAUUAUUGGGCGUAAAGCGCGCGCAGGUGGUUUCUUAAGUCUGAUGUGAAAGCCCACGGCUCAACCGUGGAGGGUCAUUGGAAACUGGGGAACUUGAGUGCAGGAGAGAAGAGUGGAAUUCCACGUGUAGCGGUGAAAUGCGUAGAGAUGUGGAGGAACACCAGUGGCGAAGGCGACUCUUUGGCCUGUAACUGACACUGAGGUGCGAAAGCGUGGGGAGCAAACAGG
rnacentral:rRNA from 1 species